rnacentral:lncRNA from 1 species
UCCCGGGUUAAAUGAUGUUUGUGCAUCCAGGCCAGGGCCAGCGAUUCAGAGAGGCCAGAUGUGAUCCGCGGCAUCUCCGAAGCAGUGGCAGGGCAGGAAUGAACAUAUGCGUCUAAAAGAACAAAGUGCUUUUUCCACCAGGCCGUGAACAUCCGCGAUAUCUACAUGUUGGCGUACCUUCCUGCCACCCAAAACCAAGCAACACCCAAGACGUCCCCCAUCUGACCCAUGCUCCCAGACCACCGUCAAGCCAGCCAUCUUUCUAUUCUCCCCGGUUCACCCCAGCGUCCUGCCCUACGGAGCCAGAGUUCCCCUCCCU